CGCCCCGUGGUCCAACGGCCACGACGCCCGGAUCACACCCGGGAGACGGGGGUUCGACUCCCUCCGGGGCGA
rnacentral:tRNA from 1 species